AUACGGAGGGUGCGAGCGUUAAUCGGAAUUACUGGGCGUAAAGCGUGCGUAGGUGGUUUGUUAAGUCAGAUGUGAAAGCCCCGGGCUCAACCUGGGAACUGCAUUUGAAACUGGCAUACUAGAGUAUAGGAGAGGAAAGUGGAAUUUCAGGUGUAGCGGUGAAAUGCGUAGAUAUCUGAAGGAACAUCAAUGGCGAAGGCAGCUUUCUGGACUAAUACUGACACUGAGGUACGAAAGCGUGGGUAGCAAACAGGAUUAGAAACCCUAGUAGUCC
rnacentral:rRNA from 1 species